GUCCAAGGCGGCGGGGGAGUUCACGGAAGUUCCUCUUCCCCCCGCCAGCCUCUCUUAGGCAUGACCUAGGCCACACAGAAGCCCAUUGCGCAGGUGUGGCAGACUCCAAAAUGGCUGCUGUGCCGGGGGAAGGCCGAAAACCGAACAGCCGAUUUUUUUUAACUAAAGGAGGCCAGCGGGGGAAGGACGAACCUUUGCAGACACACACACACACACACACACACUCUCUCUCUCUCUCUCUCUGACUCGGACAGUUCUCCCAGAAGGCCCCUGUGCCACAUGCUAGCUGUUUGCAGCAUUUCAGCAGGAAUACAGAGUUGCAGCAGCUGCAGAAGGAAGCGGAGAUCAAUGGAAAUCACCUUUCCACAUCUUGCAUCAGAGAAACCUUUUCCACCUAUGCUACAAGUACUUAGCAUGCUUGUAGCAUGCUAAUAACCAGCGCAGUGGCACACAAGGGAGGAAACAAUGACAGAGGAAGAAGUGCAUGUCACACAGCCACAGCUAUUGCCACUGCAAAAAAGGAGGAGAAAAAACAAGCAAGCAAGCAUGUGUGUGUGCACGCACACGAAACCAAGCAGGAACUCAAAGAAGCUGACAGUUGCAGAAAUUAAAACAUCAAAAAUCAAACACAAUACCAAUUAAAAACAUAUAGCACUGGAACUUUGGAAUAUACUCUCUUGGGAUGUACACUUGUCCUUCCUUUCUGUCAUUUCAGAGGCAGGCAGAGGCAGUUCUUUUCCACUCUACCUUUGGGAAUUAAAGACUUUUGAAAAUUU